rnacentral:misc_RNA from 1 species
AAACAAGUUUAUUUCAUAAGUUGUGUCCUCUUAUUUCUUUUAACAUCAAACGUGAGAACAUACGUUUCAAGGCAAUUAGAAAAGUUUUGAAUGGUUGAUAAAUAGUAAGUAGACAUGAUAAAGCAGGAUAACGUUUUUGCAUGCCUGGCGGCCAUACUGAGACUCCCGGGAUUCUUUCUGUUGGAGAAAUGGCUUCAGUCAUCUGAAGGGGAAGUUUGGUCACAAAAACAUGUAGCAGUGACUGGAUCUUCUACCUGAAGUCUUCUGUGGCAGUACUGGAUUAUCUAGGAUCUCUCAUAAUAGCUUGUGGUGGAUUGUGGUUAAUAAAAACCAAUGGGUUUAGUUGGAUUCAGACUCCAAUCCUGAUGUUACAAUUAUGGGGUCUCUGGGAUGGAUUUCAAGAUGGCCGUAAAACUUUGAUUUUAAGAAGAGCCGCCAGAAAAAAAAUAGAUUCCAUACCAACGGCAACUCGGGAAAAACUUACUGACUAUGAUGAUGUUUGUCCAAUCUGUCAUCAAAACAUGUCGUCUGCUAAAAUCACUCCGUGUGGCCAUCUUUAUCACAGAGAGUGUCUACAGAAGUGGAUGAACAUGGAAGACUCGUGUCCUCUUUGUUCCUGCCAACUUACAGUCCGAACUACUCCUUCAUAGAAUUAUUUGCUUUAGAAUUAAGUAGAAUUGCAUGAAGUGUCUUCUACAUGCAAAGCAUCUUAUAUUCAUUGUGGUCCCUACAAAAAAGGUUUGCUCUUUUUAUGCUCCAUACUUCACAGUGUAAGAUAGUAUAAAUGUUUCUGUUGGUUUUUUUAAUUUUGUUAUUAUUAUUAUGGUUGAUAUUGCAUGCGAAAAUGAAAUAGAGACUAAAACAUAACCAAAAGCGUUAUUUUUAUACAAUUUUAUUUGAAAUAAUUCAAUUAAUAUUAUCCAAUACAGUAAGCUCGAUAAUUGUAUUUUUUGUAUGAUACUCCGUACUUAAUUUCAGUACAAUACAGGCAAUAAAAAUACAAACAGU